GUGCAACAGGCGUCGUGCUCGAACGAAUGUGUCACAAAAGACGCUUCAUAACACCAAGGUAAAACACAGCAUUAAUCGUUUGGCCAGGUGGGACGAACUCUCGUUGUACAAUACCAUCGAAAUCGUUUUUACGAUCAGCAUUCUCUUCAUAUGCAUUUAUAUGUAUUUUACGACCGAUACCCAAAAGCUGGUGUCACUUUUUGAUCGAUAACAUCGAUUGUAGUUAUUCUUUGUCUUAAAAUUUUUACGAAAUGUCCACAACAGAUCAAACUUUUUAUUUCAUAUACCCACCAAUAGGUGGCGCUACCAGAAACAUUUAUAUUUAAAAAGUUCUGUUUCUUUUGCGACAGACCUUGUAUGUAUGUUGAAGGUCAAAUUUGGCGAUUUUUAAGCCUUUGCCUUGUUCUUUGUCCAAAAAGAACAAGCAUAAUUGCAAACAAAAUAUUUAACGCAUUCUAUAUACACAUAACGUCCACACGUAAGUACAAAUGAUAUUGUCCACGUUUCAGGGCGAGCUGAUACAUCGUUUCAGGAGCGUACUCAUAUACAAGAGUAUACGGAUAAUUCCGUGAGAAAUAAUUUUUUUAAAAUAAAAAACCCAACAAAAUAUACGAUUAAUAAAAACGAUAAGGUCGUCCUUGAAUUAAUUUUCGGAUAUUUCUUAUUUAUUUUAAAGAGUUUACGGUUACCACUUUUCUAAAUUACAAUUAGAGAAGAUAUAUGGAUAUAUUUUAUUAAUUUAAAUUUUCUGAAUGAACAUAGAUUCGAAGGAAUCUAAAGGAGAAUUCUUAAAAAUUCCGAAAAUGAUUACUGACGACAAAAGUCCAUGUACACCUACUGAAGCUAGACGCUUAAAGCAACGUGCUAGAAGCAAAAAAGGGGGAAAGACAUUUCUAAUAGUAAAUUAAUUUCUGAGAGUGACAGCUGAAUUAAAUACUGCACUCGAUUUGCAUCUUCACCGGUUCAAAACAACUCUGAAUCGGUACAAGUAAUCAAGAAUAAAUCUAUUAACAUCUUUUAGACACGCUUCCAAACUGCAUACGACGCAAUAGUAGAAACUGAUCAACCUGAAAAUUUCAAAUCCUCGGCUUACGUCAAUUACGAAAACUGCUUAGACCAGUAUGAAGGCACAAAAGCUAUGAUCUCAGAUAAAGUCAAUUGUACCUACUAUCCAUCCGAGAGUAGAGCUGCCACAAUUACAAGCCCUAGAGGCAAGUUCAAGCAUUCAUCUCAAAGUGCCAACAUACGAUACAGAAAUAUUUCAUGGAGGUUAUGAACAGUGGCCGUCCUUCCGGGACAUGUUUACAGCCAUAUGUAAAGCAUACAAAAUUAUCGCAAGCGUAAAAGUUGUAUCACUUCCGAUACAAAAAUGAAGGUCAAGCAGGCGUAAUAGUCAAACAGUUCGCAUUAAAUGACGAUAAUUUCAGUUUGGCUGUGGAAGCUCUGAGAUCAAGAUAUGAAAACGAAAGAAUAUUGGUCGACCAUUAAGUAACGAUACUUAUGAACUUGUCUAAAAUUCAAAAAGAAACAAGUGAAGAAUUCAUCAAACUAUUUUGAAUCCACUGUUUCAAAUUGUUUAUCAGUUCUAUCCACACAAAAUAUUCCGACAAACAAUUAGGAUUGCUGAUGAUGUUGGCAUAUCGAAAGGCUCAGCCAAUACUAUUUUAAAGGAUGUUUUGAGCCUCAAGUGUGUCAAAUCUCGACUGGUACCGAAAACAUUGAAUUUUUUGGAAAAAAGGCGUCGCGUCGAAGUGUGUGAAACGAUGCUUUCCGACUACUAGGGUGUCAUGAAAUGCAUUAUAACUGGCGAUGAGACUUGGAUCUAUGCUUACGACCCCGAAACAACUGAUCAAGCGAGCGAAUAUCGUGCCAAAAGAGAGCCGAGACCAAAAAAAUCGCACCAAAGUCGCUCAAAAAUCAAGGUCAUGUUGACUGUUUUCUUCGAUUAUCGUGGUGUUGUGCACUAUGAAUUCCUUCCAACCGGUCAAACAGUCAACAAGGAAUAUUAUUUGAACGUUAUGCGUCGUUUGCGUAACGCUAUCUGCCUAAAAAGACCGUAAUUGUGGAAAGACAAUUCUUGGUUUUUACACCACAAAAUCUGACACCAUGUUGCUCAAAAGCACAAAAAACUACACCAUACACAGCGAAAUUGAAAGUAGGGUAUUGCUACCCACAGUAGUCGUCUCCAUCGAACACUGAGGAGAACUGUUCAAACAUUGAGCCUUAAUAGAUCAAGGAUGACAAUGAUCAUUCAUAGCGUCUAGGGCAUAAAAUAGGAAAAACGGCCAACAAAACAAGCCAACUUUUAAAUUACGGAUAUAGACGGAAGAGUAGUUCUAAACUCCAAUAUAAUCUGUCUCAUUAUCCUUAUUUCCCCUAAGCGGAUAUCAGAAUUCAAGCAGACGCUAAGUUUUACCGCAACUAACAAAUAUGCUUUCAAGUUAUUAUAUAAAUAGCAAGCAUUGAGAAAAGGUUUUUUACCGUAAGAAAGAAGAUCGCAACUGCAACACCCCUCCUCAAAUAGAUCUUCUAUUAGGCAGCCAUCUCAUACCGCAAAUUAUACUAGAAGAUGUGGAAAGAAUUUCAAACACUCUUUUAGCUCAAAAUACUAUAAAUAUACAAGUUAAUAUGUACAUAAGUAUAUAUGUAUAAUGCGGAAAGUACAAAGUAAAUCCAAGUUUCUGUUUUGUUAUGAGUAAAAAUGAGUCAUGCAAAUAAACUAAACGUAUUAUAUAAUUAAAUUUAUGUUUAUUUCUGUGUUUUUUCCAAAAGCGAAAACCCUUUGGAAAAGUUAAUAAUUCGAAUAAUGCAAUUCUUCUGUAUUUUCUUCAGUUUUACUUAUAACUUCAUUAUAAGAUGUGUGAAAUAAUUAUGUAGAAUUCGAUUUGUCGACCUUCGGCCUUGUUGGAUCAUCAUGAACCAUAUUACAAAAGGUGCAGAAAAAACUUUUUUAUUCCGCAUAUUUGCCGUUACAUUUAGGCGAUCGAUUACACGGGUCAACACAAAAUUUGACCAUUACUUUAAAGCAGUAAAUUUCCAUGUUUAGGUCGUAAUUAGACGAAAAAAAUAUAUGAAAAAGUUUGCUUUUUUUAUUUAGCAAACCGCUUUAACGAUAUUUUUUAAAAUAUGUGGUUCAAAAAAAUAAAAAAUAAUUUAAAAGCGCACACUUUUACUUUUACUUUUUCUUUUAUGUUUAUAGGUACUAUCUCUUAAUAAACCCCAAAUAUAGUAUUAUUACUAUAACUUUUACAAAAGCAAACUUUAUACGAAAAAAGUGCAUUUUCGUAUCGUUUUUGUUCAUAAUUAAUCAUAAAAUCAUAAAAUAAACUUUAGGACAAAGAACGAAAAUAUUUUUGUGGAGUCGUGUUAUUUACUAGUUUAAAGAAGUGGUCGAGACUUGUUUGUUUCUUUUCUUUUGUGUAAUAACUCUUGACAAUUUUUGUGCGCAUAUUAAUAAGAUGUGAUGUCUGAUUUGCAUCAUUAUUGUUUUCAUACCACUUUAUCAAGGUAUUGAUGCAAUCAACUGCUUCCGAAAAACGAACUUUCUGUUGUUGCAUAUCUUCCUCGAUAACUGGUUCUUCAACUUCAUUGUCAGACACUUCGAAAUCUUCAUCAUCUUUCGUAUUUUGGUUGUUCCAAUGUUCCAUGUCUUCAUUCUGACGUCAACACCACCUACCCUAGACAAUAACGAUUGUGCCUCUCGAAGUGUAUCAUCGUUACAACUGUUUGAUCUAAUCAGUGUAAACAGUGGAAUUUCGUCCUCACUGUCGUAUUGAUUAUCGUCCCACUGUUUUACUAUAUAUUUCUCUAAGCUUUUAUACGCAUAUUUAGUUAUUUAAGAUAGUUUCCUGAAACAGUAUAUAAGCAAUGAAAAUCUAUAUAUAUAUAAAACAAAGACGGGGUUAUUCGAACACUUAUAACUCGAGAUCUGCUGAACCAAUUUUUAUGGUUAUUGAUUCGUUGGAUUUGUCUCCGCCCCGAAUAGCAGAAUACAUAUUAAAAACAAUGAAAACUCGAUAUGUGUAAUGAAUACUUAAUCUAUAUAUAUAAAAGAAAGUUGUUGUUAGUUACACUAUUUAUAACUCACGAAAGGCUGAAUCGAUUUGGCUGAAAAUUGGUGGGGAGGUAGCUUAGAACCAGGGUAAGGACAUAGGACAUACUUUUUAUCUCUUUAUGUCAAAAUUUAUCAAAUACAAAAAUUAUAUUUCAAAUCAUAAGCAUUUGUUCAAAAUUCAUGUUUGUAGGAAUCAUUUGAAUAUUUCAUUUCUUCAAAAAAAAAAAAAAACAAUAAAAACAACCUUACAUCUUCGUCUAUAUAAAUAUGUAUGUAAAAAUUAAUCGCCAAAAUGUAUGUACGCUCAUAACUUUCAUACGACUGAACGAAAUUUGAUAAUUCUUUUUUUUUAAAUGUUCGUUUGGGUUCAGGGAUCGUUCGAAUAAUUGCCGGAAAACCCCUAAAAACAGCCCUUUUCUUUUCCUCAUACAAACGAAUGAAUGUUUGUUCGUUAGUAACGCUAAGAGAACGGCUGAACCAAUAUUGAUGAAAUUUUAAGAGGUUGUUCGUUGUGGAUUAAGGAAGGUUUAGAAAUAAAAACAUCUUAUACUUUUCAUGAAAAGUCGGCAAAUUGGAUAAUUCCAAAAAGUAACUUCAAUAUUUUGAUUUGUAAAUUAUUUGAAUAGUUCAGUCUCGAUCGCUUGCUUUUUUAUUCCGGCUAUUCAAAAGAAAAAUUAUUUGUUCAAUUCACAACCUAUCGCAAAGCAUCGUAAAAUUAUAAAUUUUUACACUUGUUUUUUUUUUUUAUAAUUUUACGAUUUACGAUGCUUUACGACAGGUUGUGAAUUGAGCAAUUGAAAAUUAUUCAGUGAAAACUUUACGUGUGUUUCACACAAAGAGGUCAAUUGCAGAUUGAAAUUUGUUACGAAGCCACCAAGAGAUCGCCCUAAUAUCGGUCGGUGUUCUUUUUUACAUCAAAGUAUUGCAGCCCAAGGCAAGGCAGGAAGUACUCCCAGGAUGCGGUGACAUACGUGCGGAAUUAUGGAUCGCGGUCAAUCAGUAAGCGAUCGUCACGAUGGCACAGCACGACUUUUCAAACAACAGUUACGAUGUUUGAUUGACUUUAGCUAGAUGUACUCUGUUGAGUGGCAAAAGAGAGGUUUGCCGCACGCACACAUUCUUCUUUGGAUGAUGGUUACACCAGAUCAAAUUGAUGAAAUCAUUUCUCUGGAAAUUCCUGAUGUUGAGAAAGAUCCAGUAUUAUAUGAAGUGGUGGAAAGCAAUAUGGUUCAUGGACCUUGCGGACACUACAAUCCCUUUUCGGUUUGUAUGUCUAACAAUAAAUGCACGAAACACUAUCCACUUGCUUUUCUUUCGGAAUCGCAAACUGGAAAUGAUGGAUAUCCACUCCAUCGUCGUAGCUCAUCAGACGACCAUACAACUUAGAGUAGUGAAUAUCGAAGUUGACAACAUAUGGAUCGUACUAUAUUCUCCACUGUUGUCUAAUUCACAUUCAAAACUCAUAUCAAUGUUUAGUAUUGCAGUUUUGUGUAAUCUAUAAAAUACGUUUGUAAGUACGUCACCAAGGGAAGCAACAUGGCGGUUAUUGGUCUUGAACGAUACGGUCCAUACGUGAACUGCAAUAAAGCGCUUUGUAGGAUAUUUACUUUUGCAAUUCAUGAACGGUUUCCGAUUGUUGUGUGUCUCGCAGUUAAUAUGGAGAUUGGCCAAAGAGUUUAUUUCAGCCCAGAGAAUACAUUACAGCCGGUGGUAACACUAACAACAAAACUAACAUUGACGAGUUUUUUUCUCAACUUUCGUCAGUGAUCCGCUUACGAGAACAUUGCUCUAUUUGAAAAUACCUUGCAUUCAUGGAAAGCAUCGUCGAAGAAAUAGUUACGCUGAAAGCAAGACCGACCAGUUCAGGUGUGUUCUCAACUAAUGCAUUAGGAUGAAUUUACACAAUCCACCCGAAAAACGAUGAUUGCUUCAACCUUCGAUUGCUACUGAUUAAUGUACGCGGCGUAUUGCGUACUGUGAAUGGUACGGUGUGUGCAAUUACAAUUGCUGGAACACGAUAAUCAGUGGAAACAAACGUUGGACGAUGCGAUAGCUACUUCGAAUGCAAAUGAAGAUCGCACACUUUUCGCGAUAAUCAUUUUACCAUAUCAGCCUUCAAAUCCGCGUCAAUUAUGAGAUACGAACAAAAAUGACAUUGUCGAAGACAUUUUACAUCGUAUUCGCUAAAAAUUGGAAAUGGGUCAAUUCCGGUUGAUGCUUCCGGUUCAAUUCAAAAAUAUAUAGGCGUGAGAGUUUACACCAAUAUAAUGUGCCUUAAUAAAAGUACGUAUAAAACAAACAUUUGCUAAAAGUGAGGUAAAGAUAAAAUGAAAACUAAAGCUCAAGUAUGUAUAUAUGACGAAAAAAACAUAAAAAAAUAAUAAAAUAUAUACGUAUAUACAUACAAGUAAAUACAAAAAAUUAUAAAAAAAAACACAGAAAAUAUCGCUUGCCUGGUAGAAUAACAUGAAUAACAAAGAGAUGGACCAAAAGCUGGCAGCUGAAAUCAAAAGCAUAGACUUAGAAAACAUUAACUAAUAUAAUUAAACUUGACUCAAUUGAGGGCGAGAUAGGGAUCACAACUUUUUGUAUAACUUAGAUCGAUGUAUAAAGAAAUUUAUUUAUUAAAAUAAUAUAAAAAAUAUAUCAGGCAGGCUAUUUUCUUUUCUGGGUCUUUUUUUACAGUCUGGAUACAGAGAUCUAUGCUCUUGAAUACAGCGUAGCAAAAAUUCCGUUUGCUCUUCUUUUGCAGUGAUUAUACCAUGAAAAUCGUGCAUAAGUUUUAUAGCUUUUUCUGCUGUAUCAUUAACUGCCGUUAAAGAAAGUACUUUACUUUUCGCCUCUGAGUAGGCAACAUCUUCAUCCCAUGUAGAAACGGGAAAAUCCAGAAAAUAAAUUUGUGCUCUUGACGGACACAAAAUCACUUAAUGAUUUUCCUGCAACAAUAAAUAAUAAUUAUUAACAAUUUAUUAAAAACGGUAUAAAAAUAGGACUAUUCUUAGGGCUGCUUUUUAGAUCAAUUUGUCAACAGUUUCAUAUUCCUUGAGCCUUUUUAGAAAGCACAAAUCUGGAUUUGGUGCCUUUAUCGCCAGACUACAGCCAUAUUUUUACAUAUAAAACCGCAAUACAUAAACAAAAAUGUUGAAGUGCUCGCUUAUUCUUGGCACUAAUUUUGUACUGAGAUUGCAACAAAUAUCUUUACAGAGUAAAUUGCUCUAGCCAUCCACCUUGCUUGAUACAUAGCUCCAGGAGGUCUAAUUUUAUUUUAUAUUUUCACUGCCUGGUCUUGAGAAAAUAAUAGAUAGUUCAAUCAGUUUCCGAUAAUCGUCACGGCUAAUGGUUUUUAGCAGUUUUUGAUUAUAAAAUUUCAACAGAUCUUCUAAUGCCGUGAGACGAUAUCGGUAUAUGUUUCAAUGGCAGAGGAAUUAAUAGUUUUCCAGUUGUUUCUAAACUUUUGGAACAGUGGUAUAUCACUUGGUGGAUUUUGGAAGACACAUUUUAAAUCUAGUCGUAAAUGUGAUAGCAUCAAGCGAAGCCCUGUUUUUACUCCACAAUUACAAAACCACCUUUCAAUCGCCUUGUAUUAGACUCAGUUGUAUCACAGCACAUUAUUUGUACUUUGUCAUUGAGUUUCCAGUCAUAAAGUGUAUUCAAAACAGCUUUAGCUUGACCCUGGCCGAAAGAGCUCUCCAGUUUGGGAACAGCCAGAAGUUGUUCCUUUUCUCCAAAUGAAAUUAGAAUUGGUAGGCGUUAUUCUUUAGAACUUCUCACGUCAAGUCCAGGUCAUUAUUUCCCAUCCCAGUGAACAGUCACUAUUUCAGGCACUUUAUUCUGAAAAUCUGAUUUUAUAAAUUCCGCUCUAUCUUGUCGACCCUGUGUGUACGUUGAAUAGACGAUUUGUUUAUCAGAAAAUUAUCGCAGCUAAGAUCUAGUGUUUGUACUAAAGCCUGAAAUAUACAUAUAUGUAACGGGUGAUUUUUUUGAGGUUAGGAUUUUCAUGCAUUAGUAUUUGACAGAUCACGUGGGAUUUCAAACAUGGUGUCAAAGAGAAAGAUGCUCAGUAUGCUUUGACAUUUCAUCAUGAAUAGACUUACUAACGAGCAACGCUUGCAAAUCAUUGAAUUUUAUUACCAAAAUCAGUGUUCGGUUCGAAAUGUGUUUCGCGCUUUACGUCCGAUUUAUGGUCUACAUAAUCGACCAAGUGAGCAAACAAUUAAUGCGAUUGUGACCAAGUUUCGCACUCAGUUUACUUUAUUGGACAUUAAACCAACCACACGAAUGCGCACAGUGCGUACAGAAGAGAAUAUUGCGUCUGUUUCUGAGAGUGUGGCUGAAGACCGUGAAAUGUCGAUUCGUCGCCGUUCGCAGCAAUUGGGUUUGUGUUAUUCGACCACAUGGAAGAUUUUACGCAAAGAUCUUGGUGUAAAACCGUAUAAAAUACAGCUCGUGCAAGAACUGAAGCCGAACGAUCUGCCACAACGUCGAAUUUUCAGUGAAUGGGCCCUAGAAAAGUUGGCAGAAAAUCCGCUUUUUUAUCGACAAAUUUUGUUCAGCGAUGAGGCUCAUUUCUGGUUGAAUGGCUACGUAAAUAAGCAAAAUUGCCGCAUUUGGGGUGAAGAGCAACCAGAAGCCGUUCAAGAACUGCCCAUGCAUCCCGAAAAAUGCACUGUUUGGUGUGGUUUGUACGCUGGUGGAAUCAUUGGACCGUAUUUUUUCAAAGAUGCUGUUGGACGCAACGUUACGGUGAAUGGCGAUCGCUAUCGUUCGAUGCUAACAAACUUUUUGUUGCCAAAAAUGGAAGAACUGAACUUGGUUGACAUGUGGUUUCAACAAGAUGGCGCUACAUGCCACACAGCUCGCGAUUCUAUGGCCAUUUUGAGGGAAAACUUCGGACAACAAUUCAUCUCAAGAAAUGGACCCGUAAGUUGGCCACCAAGAUCAUGCGAUUUAACGCCUUUAGACUAUUUUUUGUGGGGCUACGUCAAGUCUAAAGUCUACAGAAAUAAGCCAGCAACUAUUCCAGCUUUGGAAGACAACAUUUCCGAAGAAAUUCGGGCUAUUCCGGCCGAAAUGCUCGAAAAAGUUGCCCAAAAUUGGACUUUCCGAAUGGACCACCUAAGACGCAGCCGCGGUCAACAUUUAAAUGAAAUUAUCUUCAAAAAGUAAAUGUCAUGAACCAAUCUAACGUUUCAAAUAAAGAACCGAUGAGAUUUUGCAAAUUUUAUGCGUUUUUUUUUAAAAAAAAGUUAUCAAGCUCUUAAAAAAUCACCCUUUACAUAGACGGAAUUCCUUACGCCUAAUUGACAUCUACUAUCUAAAGUUGCAACUAACUUAUGCGUUAUAAAGUUUUCCCUUCCUUUUUUUAGUAGUUUCCAAACUUAGCAUUGGAGAGGUGGAUGCCAACGGUUCCUCAAGGUUUUCAUCAGAUCUGAUAAGUUGAUCAGUAACAGAUGACGAUAGACCUCUGGCUUUCUCUUUCUUCUUUUUCGGCUAACUUUUUGUCUACACCCGUUAAACACCUUUGUUUUUGUAAAAAUAUCUUCUUCUUCUUUACUGGCGUAGACACCGCUACGCGAUUAUAGCCGAGUCAACAACAGCGCGCCAGUCGUUUCUUUUCUUCGCUACGUGGCGCCAAUUAGAUAUUCCAAGCGAGGCCAGGUCCUUCUCCACUUGGUCCUUCCAACGGAGUGGAAGUCUUCCUCUUCCUCUGCUUCCCGCGGCGGGUACUGCGUCGAAUACUUUCAGAGCUGGAGUGUUUUCAUCCAUCCGGACAACAUGACCUAGCCAGCGUAGCCACUGUCUUUUAAUUCGCUGAACUAUGUCAAUGUCGUCGUAUAUCUCUUACAGCUCAUUGUUCCAUCGAAUGCGAUAUUCGCCGUGGCCAACGCGCAAAGGACCAUAAAUCUUUCGUAGAACUUGUCUCUCGAAAACUCGCAACGUCGUCUCAUCGGUUGUUGCCAUCGUCCAAGCCUCUGCAACCUUUUAGCAGGACGGGAAUUAUGAGUGACUUAUAGAGUUUGGCUUUUGUUUGUCGAGAGAGGACUUUACUUUUCAAUUGCCUACACAGUCCGAAGUAGCACCUGUUGGCAAGAGUAAUCCUGCGUUGGAUUUCCAGGCUGACACUGUUGGUGGUGUUAAUGCUGGUUCCUAAAUAGACGAAAUUAUCUACAACUUCAAAGUUAUGACUGUCAACAGUGACGUGAGAGCCAAGUCGCGAGUGCGACGACUGUUUGUUUGAUGACAGGAGAUAUUUCGUCUUGCCCUCGUUCAUUCCCAGACCCAUUUGCGUUGCUUAUCUUAUUCUUAUUCAAAUUUCAGCAGUUCCAAAGAAUCAGUGUAAGCUUUGAUGGCGCUUUUUUUGCGAGAAGCACAAGUUUUUUUACUCAGUUAGGUAUAGCUUUGGUAGGGAUUCUAGCUUUUUCCCAAAAUAUAAUUCACUCCCGAAUGACGAGAUUAGCGCUUUCACUAACAGUCAAUUUAACUUCGGGAAUGAUACAAAAGUGCUGCAAGAGCUUAAUGAUUAGACAGUAACAUUGCGCAUAUUAUUUGAUAAAUUACGUCUACAACUAAGAAAACACAUUUUAAAUGGUUCUUAAUUCCACUGCCAUCUUUUAAAUGUAUAACAAUACGUGUUAAUCGCGAGAAUAAUUGAGAACAAAUGACAAAUGCCGUGAAUACGCACCGCUACUGCCGCGCAACAUGUAUGAACUUGAUUCGAUGCAAGUCGGCACGGGUUAUCGUACUCCAAAUGAGCUAAAAAUGUAUUUCCGAGUGUUUUAGAGGCAAAUGAACAAAAUUAAGUCCUAUACGAUAGAAAUUUAAAACUUUGAAAAAUAAGGGACACCAUAAUAUACACAUACACAUGUAUUUAGUAAUUUAAUAUUGUUUCCUAAAAUAGUAUAUAUGUAAGUAAUGAAAAUACUAAAUAAAAAUGAGAAUUAAUAAAUUCUUCCUCGAUAUAAGUCUAUCAUUGCCCCCCACCAGCGGUAAGGUUUGUUAGAAACUACAGUGAGGUAGUAAGAGACGUGGACUAUCGGCCUUCGAAGUGGUUUGAGCUGGUUCAUCCUUUGCCCAAUAUGCCGGUCAGUGUAUGAAUUAUCUUAGCAAUAUUGAAUUGAAAUCUGUUCCUGAGAGGCAGUUGUCCAAAAAAACAGGUCUCUAUUUGCUUGGAAGGGCUUCCUGCGCGAUCAAGUUUUUUUGGAUUUGGCUCAUCUUGAACACCUACACAGUCUUUACUUUCGGGCCCAUACGCAUAAAUCCGUGUUUCACCAUCUGACACGUUUUCAUAGAAGUGUUUGGAAGCACCGCUAUCGCAAUUUUUUUUUUAAUUUCAAUCAAUUGACACUAGUUCAUUAAGUUCCUCGAUACAGUGUUGACGUGAUAAUCCAAGUAGGAAGUUGUAAGAAUAAUCGCGCGAAAGUUUUCGAAAGUUAAUUCCAUAUUUUUGUUGAGAUGAGUAUUUCAAGUUAAUGUAGACAACACAAGUAGCGGUCGUAUGCCAAAACGUUCUGAGUAUAACAUCCAAAAUGUCAGACUUUACGACAAAAUUAUCAGUUGCAAGAUUGUAACACUAGGGUUGCUGAAUCCCGAAAAUCUAUAAAAGGCAACCUACAUAAUAAAAGCAAAAGUUUAUGCAAUCAGUUCAACCCCGAUGUACCCUAUAUAGGGAUUUCCGACUUUCUCAUGAUUAAACUGUUUAUGUUAGUCAAAAUGCGAGAUAUUUUAAUGAAAUUAAGUCCACAAGUUUUGUUAGAAAUUGUGGGGGUUAGCGCUAAAUUUAAAAGCAAUUUUUUCUAGACCUUGCUCUAAACUUCAUAUCGAUAAUACAAUUGUGAGAAGCGAUAACAGUACAACUUCUAAAAACGUGCGUAUACUCAGACAUAUGUACAUCCAGAGCAAACGGUACUUAUUUAUAAUAAAAAAGUUGUUUAAUUAAAUAAAUAUACUAAUUGCAUUAAUUAGUAUUAGUAUUUUAGUCAAAAUAUGGCAAUGAAACCUGUACCUAGCCAAUAACUUUAUAACAUACCAAAUUUGAUUUGGUUACACCCGAAAUUGGCUUACCUGACUUUAUUAAAAAAAAGUUUUGCAAUUACUGUAAGUAUUUAUUUUGACAAUAUAAGGUUAAAUACCUUGCAGUGUACAUAAAAUAUGUUUUAAUAAAUGUUCGAUAUUGCACAAUUUAAAUAAUAGCUUACCUUAUGGUAAGUUAAUAUAAAUUUCAUAUUGUUUCACUGAAUUAUGUAAGACUCAUUAUUAUAAAAUAUAUUGACAUUUUAAUAGUAACAGUCAACACAUUGUAAGAAAUUUUAAUUAGUGAAAAUUCAAAUAUAUUCGAGGUGAAUACUAAACGGAAUACUCCUCAGAAUCGUACAACUAAAAAUUAGAGUACGUUUAAAAUAAAGAAAUUUCAAUAUGUGUUUAAAAUUAUAAAGAUUGAAAGCUUCUCAAUCUUUGAAAUUCUCUUUUGAAAUCCAGAUAAAGAAUUUAUAAAACAAAAACACGAUUCUAUGGUACAGCAAAACUUUGCAUACAUGUAGUAUAUAAGAAAUACGAGUAUGUGUGGGAGAUAUUCGAUAUAAUAAAAGCAAUUAGUAAAAGUACCAUAUACAUAUAUACGGUACAGCAGGCUCUUAUAUUCACAUUUUCAAAUAUUUAAGAAAGAAAGUAGCAAGACUUACUAAAAGUAAUUUAAGAUCUUAAAAAUUACUUUACUCCUUCGCACAAUUGAAAGUACCCAUAGACCGCCAUCAAGAAUCUCAUCUUGUGUUUGACCUUAGGAUAUUGAAAUCAUUAGAGUAUGAAAAUAAAUCUUUUCAUAAUUCAUGCUGUGAAAUCGGUUCUAGUUUUUUCUUAUCUUUACAUGAGUCGUCCAAACAAAGCGGCGACGAAGAGCAUGAAUGAGCUUCUUUGUAGAAUAUGGUCGGACGAAAGCAUACCCGACAAUUAGAAUUUAAGUAUGCUCUGCCCAUUGCAUAAAAAGGGAAGUCUCUUCAACAUCGCAUAUAAAGUUUUAGCGAGGCAUGGUCGAUUACAACAUUUGAUGAGUUGGCGUUACGAGUUGUCGAGAGAAAGGUUCUCCUGAAAAUUUAUGGUCCUUUGCUCAUUUGCAACGUCGAAUACCGCAAUCAAUGCAACGAUCAGCUGUACGAGUUAUAAGAUGGCAUUGACAUACAGUCACUCACAUUGAAAGUCGGGCAAGCGCAAAACGAAAUUUCCACUUAUGAUAAAUGUGUGAUGAAAAAAAGAUAGUCAACUCGAUUUUUUUAUAUUUUAUUACAAUAAAUCUUACGUUUAAAAAACAACAAUAGUAUACUUGUAUAUUCAAAGUAUCAUAAAACAAAACGCAUGUAACAAAAGCUGUACUAAGGUCACUUUUUUGACUCACAUUGAAAGUCGGGCAAACUGUAUUUCUAGCAAAUAUAACAGUAAAUGUUCCGUUAUAUCUAUUCCAAGUUUAUAGGUCUGAAGAUUUGUAAUUGAACAUCGUAAGUCAAUCAGCGAAGUUUAAGUAAGUAUUUUUUUAAAAUGUCUUGAAAAAUUAAACAGUAUGCUUUGGAUGAGCGCAAAUUAGUCAUGUAUCACAAUUUACAAUUUUAUGAAGAAGAGCAAAUCCACAGUUCACGAUAUUAUUACCAGAUAUAAUCGAAAUGGAUUAGUUUCAAAUAAGCAGCGCGAGUCCAAUCCUAAGAAAUUAUCAAUUAGAGAAAUAAAGCAAAGGCCUUUUACUGCUGCACCUAAACUAGUGGCAAUGGUCGAAGAACCUUCUGGUACUAAGGUUAACCCAGAAACUAUAAGAAGAUUAUUACGAAAAUAUUACUUAUAUGGUCGAGUAGCAAGAAAAAAACCGAUUUGAAUUCGUACGGUAUAUAUUGACAAUAAGAACGUUUCUAUGAUUCCAAGGUCGAUUUUUAGGUAUUAUUUAUAGACGAAAGUAAGUUUAAUUUAUUGCGACUCAGUAAUGGUCUGGGGGUGUAUGGCGGCUUCAUCAGGACAACAGGAAAUGCUCUGCUUUGCCCAAUAUGCAACUAUUUCUUCAUUCUUUACACAUCGCAAAUCAACACACCCUUUAGUCUUAAGUUCAUCUUGCUCUUCCGGCCGGGAAGACACUUGUGGUAUACAAGCUUCUACCUCUUUAGACUGUGCGGUUCUUUGGACUGUGGUGAUAUAGACAAUAGAAUAGAUUGAGAACAAGAAUUGAGAUGAUAAGUACAGUUUGGUUGGGAAAUUCGAAUAGGUGGAAGAAAACUCUUGAGAGAAUUUCGUUAACUUUCGUUUUCAUUAAAUCUAGUAACGAACUUCAUAUAUGUAAUUUAUCAUUAGUUUUCCUUUCGGGGCUUAACAGAAUUACUGUUUAGAUUGUUAUUUACUUCAGCAGGAGAUAGUAAUAUACUAAUAUAUCUUUCAAUUUCUGUCGAAUCACAUAGGGGUGUUGUGCAAUCCAAGACAGAAUUGCUUAGCGGUCAGAAUUGCAAACCAAUUCUCAUUUUCAAUGGUGUCACAGAUUCUGAUUGGAUAUUCGCAUUUUCGAACAUCCGCAAAACCAAUAUUCGAACCAGGUGUUUACUAAUGUGACAAAACUUGCAAAUGAAUACAUUUAAGAAGCAAUCCUAUAAAAGUUCUUAAUAAGUUCCGAUUUAUAGGAAGAUUUUAAGAGAUAACAUUUUUUUAAUGAAUAAAGACGCAUUUGGGUUUUAAAAACCGUCUUGUAAAUCUAAUGUCUUUGAAUAUCCGUUUUUUUUCCAAAAACUCAAUAAUUAAGAUAUUUCGUGUUUUAUACUUAUGUAUCCCUUAGAAAUCCCUUAUAGAAAUAAAGAUAAAUUAAUUCGAAAUAAUAAAAUAACUUGAUUUUUUAACUUACAUUUAAAAUCUGUGGGCGACUAUCAUCUUGCUUUAUUUCUGAUAGCAAAACCGAUAAAAUUGGUUUUCGUGACACCCAAAACUAUACAAAUUUUGUUUCGAAUAUCAAACCUAUAAUAUCUGAAUUCAUGACACCUACUUUUUUUUUUUUUUUUUGAUCGGUUUCAAUUCUGAUUCCAACAACUGUCCCCAAUCAUUAGGUUGUGCCGCAUAAAAAAUGCUUUCGUCACAAAUAUUCUGUCAAAUUCCUUUGGUACAUUCUUCUUCUUUUUAAUUGGCGCCAGUCGUUUCAGAGCUGGAGUGUUUUCGUCCAUCCGGACAACAUGACCUAGCCAGCGUAGCCACUGUCUUUUAAUUCGCUGAACUAUGUCAAUGUCGUCGUAUAUCUCGUACAGCUCAUCGUUCCAUCGAAUGCGAUAUUCGCCGUGGCCAACGCGCAAAGGACCAUAAAUCUUUCGUAGAACUUGUCUCUCGAAAACUCGCAACGUCGACUCAUCCGUUGCUGACAUCGUCCAAGCCUCUGCACCAUAUAGCAGGACGGAAAUUAUGAGUGACUUAUAAAGUUUGGUUUUUGUUUGUCGAGAGAGGACUUUGCUUCUCAAUUGCCUACUCAGUCCGAAGUAGCACCUGUUGGCAAGAGUUAUCCUGCGUUGGAUUUCUAGGCUCACAUUGUUGGUGGUGUUUACGCUGGUGCCAAGAUAGACGAAAUUAUCUACAACUUCAAAGUUAUGACUGUCAACAGUGACGUGAGUGCCAAGUUGCGAGUGCGACGACUGUUUGUUUGAUGACAGGAGAUAUUUUGUCUUGCCCUUGUUCACUGCCAGACCCAUUUCUUUUGCUUCCUUGUCCAGUCUGGAGAAAGCAGAACUAACGGCGCGGGUGUUUAGGCCGAUGAUAUCAAUAUCAUCGGCAUACGCCAGCAGCUGUCCGCUCUUAUAAAAGAUUGUACCUGCUCGAUUCAGUGCUGCGGCUCGAAUAAUUUUCUCCAGCAGCAGAUUGAAAAAGUCGCACGAUAGGGAGUCGCCUUGUCUGAAACCUCGUUUGGUAUCAAACGGCUCGGAGAGGUUCUUCCCGAUCCUGACGGAGCUUUUCGUGUUGCUCAACGUCAGUUUACACAGCCGUAUUAGUUUUGCGGGUACCAAAUUCAGACAUCGCGGCAUAAAGGCAGCUCCUAUUCUUGCUGUCGAAAGCAGCUUUGAAAUCGACGAAUAGGUGGUGAGUGUCGAUUCUCCUUUCACGGGUCUUUUCCAAGAUUUGGCGCAUGGUGAAUAUCUGGUCGGUUGUUGAUUUGCCAGGUGUAAAGCCACACUGAUAAGGUCCAAUCAGUUUGUUGACGGUGGGCUGUAAUCUUUCACUCAAUACGCUCGAAAGAACCGUAUAUACGAUGUUGAGGAGGCUAAAGGGGUCUCCUUUUUUAUGGAUUGGGCAGAGCACACUUAGAUUCCAAUCGUUGGGCAUGCAUUCGUCCGACCAUAUUUUACAAAGAAGCUGAUGCAUGCCCUUAUCAGUUCUUCGCCGCCGUGUUUGAAUAGCUCGGCCGGCAAUCCGUCGACCCCUGCCGCUUUGUUGUUCUUCAGGCGGGCAAUUGCUUUUCGAACUUCUUCAUGGUCGGGUAAUGGAACGCCUGCUCCAUCGUCAUCGAUUGGGGUAUCGGGUUCGCCUUCUCCUGGUGUUAUGCGUACACUGCCAUUCAGCAGGCUGGAGAAGUGUUCCCUCCAUAAUUUAAGUAUGCUCUGGGCAUCGGUGGCUAGAUCACCUUUGGGGGUUCUACAGGAGUAUGCUCCGGUCUUGAAACCUUCUGUAAGCCGCCGUAUUUUUCGAAGAAUUUUCGAGCAUUGCCCCUGUCGACCAGCUUAUCAAGCUCUUCGUACUUACGCAUUUCGGCCUCUUUCUUCUUCUGUCUGCAAAUGCGUCCCGCUUCCCUCUUCAACUCGCGGUAUCUAUCCCAUCCCGCACGUGUUGUGGUCGAUCGUAACUUUGCGAGGUAGGCAGCCUAUUUUCUCUCCGCUGCGACACGCCACUCCUCGUCGUACCAGCUGUUCGUUUGCACUUUCCGAAAGCCAAUGGUUUCGGAUGCAGCUGUACAUAAGGAGUUUGAAAUGCCGUCCCACAGUUCCCUUAUACCGAGUUGUUGACGAGUGCUCUCAAAGAGCAGGUGUGCAAGCCGAGUUGAGAAACGUUCGGCAGUCUGUUGUAAUUGCAGCUUCUCGAUGUCGAACCUUCCUCGUGUUUGUUGGCGUGCGUUUUUUGCUGCACAGAGGCGGGUGCGAAUCUUAGCUGCAACAAUAUAGUAGUCCGAGUCGAUGUUAAGACCUCGGAGCGCACGCACAUGUAAAACACUGGAGACGUGUCUUCCGUCUAUCACAACAUGAUCGAUCUGGUUGGAAGUUUUCCGAUCCAGAGACAGUCAGGUAGCUUGAUAAAUCUUCUUACGCUGGAAUCUAGUAUUGCAGAUAACCAUAUUUCGGGCCCCGGCGAAGUCGAUCAGCCUCAACCCACUUGGCGAUGUUUCCUCGUGGAUGCUGAAUUUACCGACCGUAGUGCCAAAGAAACCUUCUUUGCCCACCCUGGCGUUAAAGUCGCCAAGCACGAUUUUGACAUCUUGGCAGAGGCAUCUCUCAUAAGUCUCACAUCGUCCUUCUCUUCCUUUGGGGCGUGGGCGCAAAUCAGCGAUAUGUUGAAGAACCUUGCUUUGAUGCGGAUUGCGGCUAGACGUUCAUUCACCGCAGUGAAUGAUAGUACACGUCGACGGAGUCUCCUCCCACCACGAAUCCCAUACCAAACUUGCGCUUCUUUAUAUGGCCACUGUAGUAAAUGUCACAAGGACCUAUUCGUCUCUGUCCUUGUCCCGUCCAUCGCAUUUCUUGGACGGCGGUGAUGUCACGAGGACAUCAACCAGCUGGGCAGCGGCACCUUCACAAUUAAGGGACCGGACAUUCCAGGUGCAUGCCCUCAAUUCGCAGUCCUUACUUCGUUUGCCAUGGUCGUCAUCAAAAGGGGGGUCUCUCAUCCGAGGCUGUUGUCGUUUUUUCAUUGGCAUUAACAAGAAAUCUGACAGAGCACCGUUUGGCAACUAUGAAUGUAAACAAUUUAAAAAAACAAUACCGUGAUGAAAAUGGAAAAAAUAUAUUGACCAUCGGAAAGAAAGAAUUCCAUCAUAUUGAUCAUCAAAAUAAAUUCAGAGGAGAGUGGGUAA